UCAUGCUUGGGAGAUCUUCGGAAAUGUGAAAGCCUGACAUCCUUGCCCAAUGGGCUACCAGCAUACUCAUCUCUUUGUGCUCUUACAAUUCUAGAUUGUCCUGGUAUAAAGUUGCUUCCUUCAGCCCUGCGUCAACGUCUGGACAGCCUCGAGGAGAAAAAUCUAGAUGCUCGUCACGAAGGUGCCAAGCUAUUGAAACCAAAGACAUGAAAAUACGCCGUCUGUAGAAAUUAGUGAGCUAACAAUAACCCGAAGUAUCAGGAAAGUUACUAAGCAGGAGGUGGUUUAUUACACACAUAUUUCCCUCUUACGGUGCACAGGGCCUGAAUUACCAUAUAGGCUCUGAUAAUUGUUCCAAGACUAACAAAUGGCGAUGGGAUCAAAUGGAAUGGAGAUGUAGAAUAUAUUGCUCACUGGCAUGGAGAGAACAUCUCGACAAAGAUUUCCCCCCAUCCUGAGACAUAAUCAGACAAAUUUAAAACAUAUAACAUGUAAGUUACAGUCAAAAG